rnacentral:rRNA from 1 species
CAGUCGCCACGGUAACACAGAGGGUGCGAGCGUUAAUCGGAAUUACUGGGCGUAAAGCGCGCGUAGACGGUUUUGUAAGUCAGAUGUGAAAUCCCUGGGCUCAACCUGGGAACUGCAUUUGAGACUGCAUGGCUAGAGUAUCGAAGAGGGAAGUGGAAUUUCCGGUGUAGCAGUGAAAUGCGUAGAGAUCGGAAGGAACAUCUGUGGCGAAGGCGACUAUCUGGGCCAACACUGACACUGAGACACGAAAGCGUAGGGAGCAAACAGGAUUAGAUACCCCCGUAGUCCCUGUCUCUUAUAA